rnacentral:tRNA from 1 species
GUCUCCUUCGUCUAGCGGUCAGGACAUCGGGUUUUCAUCCCGACAACAGGGGUUCGACUCCCCUAGGAGAUA